UCAUCGAGUCUUUGAACGCAAGUUGCGCCCGAGGCCUCGGCCGAGGGCACGUCUGCUUGGGCGUCGCACUCUAAAAUCGACUUCCCCCGUUCCUCGGCGGGAGGAUCGGAGAUGGCUGUCCGUGCCCACCAGCGGCGCGGUCGGCUUAAAUGGGCACGAGAUUUGUGGCCGAUGUCACGAUGAGCGGUGGCCAAUGUUGGUCGGCGUUGGAUUGUGGCACGAGGUCACGGAUUUGUGCGGAACUUUACUCGUUGUUAGUCGCGACUCUUCCGCGGGAGGGUGCGUCCCAACUUUCGCGGCCCCAGGUCAGGCGUGAGUACCCGCUGAGUUUAAGCAUA
rnacentral:rRNA from 1 species